AGGGCCUGUCACCCAGCCUGGGGGCUGAGUCACCCACACCAGCAGGUCUCCUCUCUCUCUCUCCCCUAACAACUGUUCCAAAAGUUGCCUUUCAAUUAGUACUACCUCCUUGGGCUCCUCCCAGAGACAUCUGGGGCCAGGGAGCCAGGCAGGCCUGCUGAGGUCAUGGUGGCUGAGCACUGACUAGAAAGGAAGUAACCCGGUGACACACCAAGCAGGGCUGUCCCCAGACCAGUCCCAGAAGAAUCUGAAGCGUCCUACUGCCCUGGGGUGUUGGUCACAGCUGCCCCAAUCUCAGCCUGUGGAUGCUGCAAUUACCUCAGAGCCUGAAACUGGCUUCCCACCUGACUGAGUCAGCUGAAAACAAAACACAUCUCUACCACACGCUGGCACAAACAGCCAACCCACUAAUCAGAGUCCCCAGAUGCUGGCAGACAGAGCACAGCUCUACACUGGCCAGGAGAUCGACACAUGCCAGGGACCACCAGAGAGCGCUUGAGCAGGGCCCAGCUGCUGCCUGCCUGAGGAAGGAAGGAGGGUUCCCCUGCCGGCGCUCCAGCCCUGCCCACCGAGAAGCUCUCCCUCAGCCGGAUCUGCUCCUGUCCUGCCCU
rnacentral:lncRNA from 1 species